GAUGAAGGAACGUAGCGAAAUGCGAUAAGUAAUGUGAAUUGCAGAAUUCAGUGAAUCAUCGAAUCUUUGAACGCACAUUGCGCCCAUCAGUAUUCUGUUGGGCAUGCCUGUCCGAGCGUCAUUUCAACCCUCAGGGCCCGUUCGCGGGAACUGGUGUUGGGGAUCGGCCUCCCCCCGGAGGCCGGCCCCGAAAUGCAGUGGCGGCUCUACCGCGAUCUCCUCUGUGUAGUAGCGAUACCUCGCAGCUGGAUAGUGGUGGUGCCACGCCGUAAAAUCCCAACUUUACCAAGGUUGACCUCGGAUCAGGUAGGAAUACCCGCUGAACUUAAGCAUAUCAAUAAGCGGAGGA
rnacentral:misc_RNA from 1 species